rnacentral:lncRNA from 1 species
GCAUUUAAUUUGUUAAAACUAGGCUUUUUAAAGAAAAGACAUUGACAAUGUGAAACUUUUGCUUAUUUGCAGAUAAAUCAGAAAGUCUCUUCAGCACUUAAUUAUAAGAUUCUGCCUAUUAACUCAUUCUGUUUUGCCACUGACAUCAACGAAGGCUACAGCCAGCCCUCCAUCCCAGGGCCAUUUUGAAGGGCUCUUGACAGGCACUAGCUUGUGGCCAAGAGACUCCUAGGAAGGCUUGCCCAGACUGUAGUGUUUUCCUGUAAUGAUUUGGACACAUUUUUCAAAUGCCCAAAUUUCAGCUCCAAACGCAACUAAAAGCUAGGCAGUCUACAACUGGUUGGCAAGCAGGCUGGCAAAGACUCAUUUUAGCCUACUGGGUGAGAAAAUGAAAAUGCACGGGCUCUAUACCCAAACAUUAGAGCACACAUUCACUUUAAAACGCAAUCAGAAAUCCAGACCAAAAAUCAUUUUCUCAAGGGCACAGAAAUAACAGAGUGCAGAAAUAAAACAAUACCAACGUCAAUAAGUACUAAUUAUUCCAUAAAGACAAAUAUUACCAUUACACUAAGAAUUAUGCAAUGAGUAUGUUUAUAAGUACAAAGUUAAAAAUCCCUCAAAAAAAUGCCAACAAAUUCAAAGAGGCAAAAUUACACAUCAAAAUCAUUUCAAUUCUCUUUAGAUUAGCCUAAUACUGUGACCAAGGGAGUUAUGUAUUGUAACCCCAUGGCCAGAAGUGUGAAUUUUGCUCUUUGAUAGAAGAAUUAGCUUGCUAUGAUACAUUACAUGAUUGAUCCAAUCAACAAAACUUA